rnacentral:rRNA from 1 species
UACGUAGGGUGCAAGCGUUGUCCGGAAUUAUUGGGCGUAAAGAGCUCGUAGGCGGUCUGUCGCGUCUGCUGUGAAAACUCAGGGCUUAACCCUGAGCUUGCAGUGGGUACGGGCAGACUAGAGUGCGGUAGGGGAGACUGGAAUUCCUGGUGUAGCGGUGAAAUGCGCAGAUAUCAGGAAGAACACCCGUGGCGAAGGCGGCUCUCUGGGACGGUAC